CUUCCUUUUCGUUUAUUUUUGAGCAACAGGAGGCAUGAUUCUUGGUCAGACCAUUGUUGACCCCGUUUCCAUGUGGUCUCUGCACGUGGCUGUGCUUCUCUUAGGUUGUCUCCCAGAGGAUCUUACCCAUCAUUGACUAACCAGUGCUCAAAACGGGAGGCCACAGGAGUGCUUGCUCAGAUAGGGAAAGGAAUGAGGAACAGUGGUAAUCAGGAAUGGCGUGUCUGCACACAGGCUGUGGGCCGUUUGAGUGGCUGACCAGAGCUAGUGGGGUAUAAAGCAGUAGCAGAUGUGGCUAUGGGCACUUUCUCAGGGUAGGAUGAUAGGGCAGGUGCAUCCGCUAACAAGGCAGACUCUCAGUCGUGUUCAGCUGGUUCUGGUUGGCUGAGAGUUGUAGGCUUGAUGUUUCUGGCUGGUACCCAAAUGGGCUGUCCCGCAUGCUCUGGAAAGACACAAGCAUAUCCUCGGCCCUAGGUUAGCAGAAGCCUUUUUACAGGCGUUGGAAUCCAGGGCCUGAAUUCUGUGUUCACUUCGAGAUUAACGGCAAACAUGUGGGUGGGAUGGGGUCUAGCAGCUGUCCUGAGAGCCUGGGUGCCUGGGGACUGCCACAAACGUGGGGAUCCUCACUGGGUGCGGAUGGGAUGAC